GUCCCGGAAGGAGCGGCGCGGCCCCGAGGCUUCCCGAGCUUUCCCCCUCCCUCCCUCCCUCCCUCCUCCUUUCCCCAUCGCGGCGCGGACAGAGCCGAAGCCAGGGCGGAAACUGCCGAGAUGGCCUCAACAAUGGGGGGGAGAUGAAGGGCACGGGGAUGCGCAGCAGGCAGAGGGGACGCACAGGACAGCGGGAUGUGCAGCAGCUUCUCCCUGCACUGGUUUGCUGGAGAGGAGUUCAGCCCACAAAUAAAACAAAGGGAAAAGACCACACUGGAAGAUGAAUUGUGCUGUCUUGGCUAACUACUUCUAAGCUUUAACAGGUUCCCAAAACAGACAUGUAGAACCCAGGUAAGAAGGGUGAAAUAAUUAAGAGUUGGAAUGUGGGGCUUUUGUCUCUGCUGUAAUUAUCUGUGGGCCAGAUCAGAAACGUUAGACAUCCAACAGGUGAUGAUGUUUUUAGAGGAAAAGCGAACAGUUCCUCCUUUCUCUAAAGGCUACAUACUUUUCCUAUCUAAUCAGUAAUACAAAAUGGGGAGGUGCUGACACAAGCAAGAAUAGCCGAUGACUUCAUCAGUGUGGCAGCAGCUCUCCCUUUAAAGUGUGAGCAAUUCGUUGUGGGUUUGGGAGGUUUUGUUUUCUUUUUUUUUUUAAAGUCUGUCUUCUAUGCAGGAACCUGCAGUCACCUUUAGGACUGUUCUAGUCUUACUUCAAAUCUCUGCUGAGACAGAGCACAAGACUACUUGCUGUUCCUCUCUAACAAACCCUAACUGCUGCUCUUGCAAUCAAAACAAAUGUAAAGCAACUAACUCUAGUCACCAGCAUUUUUUACCCUUGUUAUUAGUGGAUUUGACCUAAGAACUCGAGGAAGCUGCAUCACCAUAGCUAAGUGUUAACAUUGUGUACGUAACCAUGAACUGCGAGAACUUCUUCUGAAAAACUUCAGCAAAUACUUUCUUCUGUCCCCCAACAGACGGAGUGGCUAUUCCUGCAUGGGGAAAAAGACCUGUAGUUUCACAGAGGUGCCCAGCAGAGCUGCAACAAAACUAUUCUAAGAUUUGAAGCAGAAACGAGGACAUUCCUUCUAUGACAACACAUUUGCUCUUAAAAGACCACCAAAUGGACAGUGGCCAGGAAUACUGAACAGGUAACUGCUACCGUUUGGAGCCACUAAGGUGAGGCAGUCCUCGCGCAGCCGCGCUGCCUCCACCCUCCCUGCCCUCUGCUGCUCCGGCUGCUUCCCCAGCUGCGGUCGCUCCUCCUGCCCGGGUUACGGCUUCCUUCACGGCCGGGGCUGGGCAUGCCCUUCGCCUCUUAACUCGCCAGCACCAGCUACGUCCAUGCCUCCAUGUGUAUUUGAUGUUAAUUCCGGGACAUAGAGAUCCCUUUCCGCACGGUGACAAGUCCCCUGAAAAUCUAAGCUGCUGUUCUGAAUUACCAUUUAAGCCAUUAGUCGCUUAAGGAAGCUUGCCAGAGUCAGCAGCCAGCAAUAACACAUUUCUUGUAUGCAAACUGUCUCCUAAAUAAUAAAAGUGUCUCCUCCACUGCCCAUUUUCUCUCUGUGGUAGAGCUGGAUUUUCUGGGGAUGCGUUUGAUCUGCAAUACGAUCAGUACAAUAAGACGGUGACACAAGUUUAGCAAUUGCUUUGUGAGACUCGGCUAACAUCAUGUAAAAAAUGGUUCUCAGAUUCUGCACACAGACAGGUUUAUGUAAAAUGUAUAAACAUUUGUCCAAGUUGUUACAGAUUGCAUAAAUAUGGCAUUUUUACUGUUGCAUUUACAGAUGUGCAUGUACAAUGAUGUGCAAAUAAUCACAAUUUGAUUACAAUCUUUUAAAGGUACUUG